AACUGCAAGUCCUGCUAGACCAGCUUUGUCUAAGAUUAACUUGGCUCCAACCCCAGUGAAAGCUGUGUCAACUCCUGCUAGUGUACCUUCAACGCCUGCUAAAAUUGACCCAGCACCAGCUUUUGUCGCUUCAACCCCACCUGAGUUUGCUUCAACUCCUGCCCGUCUGUUCAGUACAUCCCUUGAAGCUCGUCUGCAGAAAAGAAGUAGCGAUGAUACAAAUCUAGAUGAUAUCAAUACUGACCAACCAUUUAAGCUCGCGAGGCGUUCCUCACUAAGCUCAUCAAGGUCGUUGAACUUCGAUUCUUAUACAGAGCAUGAGAAAGAUGUUGAUGAAGACAUUGAUCGAGUACUGGUGUCCAGCGACGAUGAAAUACUCAGUAUACUUCCUGAUAAGCUUCGAGAGGAGGUAAUACAUUAAGCUCCUCAUAAUUACAUUUUACUUAACUGGGAUUGGCUUAGCUUAUUGAGAUAAAUUGAACUUCCUUUUGUGCUCAUUUCAGAUUAAAGAACAAGAGAGGAAAGCUAUUGAGGAUUCUAAUCCAGCGAUCUCAGAGGCAAAGAGAAGGCGAAAGAUGAUAGCUUGUCUACCUAAACUUUUCAACGUUAUCCAUUACUUGAUCCAGUCGUUAAGGCGGUGGGUUAUCACAAAAGAAGAGCUUGUGCACAAGAUAAUCGCCGGUCAUUCUGAUAUCGCCGACAGAAGUAAGCCCCUUCAUUCAGCAUCUCAAUACAUCUUUCCUUACAAGUGUUUUCAAAGAUGUCACUAACCAUUUUUGCUGCGUUAUUUGCAGGAGAAGUUGAAGAGCAGCUUGUGUUAAUGCAAGAGCUAGUCCCGGAAUGGAUCUCUGAGAAAAGAUCAUCAAGUGGAGAUCUACUUGUAUGGUUAGUCUUUAAUAUCUGCAUGCUUAUAAUACUUCUUUAGUAUUUUUAGAUUGGUAAUUAAAACAUGUUAUUAUUAUGUGGCCGGCAGCAUAAACAAAGUGGCAUCUCCUCAAACUAUCCGGUCGAGUCUAGAAGAAGAAAACAAGAAAGCGAUGGCUACGCCACUUUCUUAAAAGUGCGGUGUCAUCGGCUGCUGAACAUGCGUCACUUUAUACGUGAUAAAGGCUGAACAUUCAUGAGAAAGGCGUGUAGAGAUAGAUUGCUAGGUAGAUUAUCAAAAUUUUAGUGUGGAAAUGUAAUUAAUUAGUAAUAAAUCACUUUUAUUUUCUCUAAUUUGCAAUAAAUAACUUCCACCUUUUCUUUUUUCUUUCAGUUACCAAAAAAAUAAGAUGGGGAGAGAUGUAGUCUAAUAAUUUACACUAACAUCUUUGAUGUUUAUUUAUUCAAGUUCAAAUACGUUAAUGCAAAAAAAGUAAUCAGUUUGAAGAUGGGUUCAGAUUCGGAAUUAGGACUCAAGGAACCGAAUAGAAUAUAGGGCAAAUUUUCAAAAUAGCAUUUUUCUAAGUUUAUAUAACAAAAAUAGCACUCAAAAACUAAAAUGACCAAAAUAGCACAUUUCUAAGUUUAUCCUUUGAAAAUUUUAAUAUUUUUAUUUUUUAAAAUUUGAAAUCUUAACAACCAAAUGAUCACCUUCUCUGCCACGCCUUGCUGUCAAAGCAUCCACCUGAAAUUUUUAAAAGACAUUACGAAUCAGAGAGCUCUUGUUUAACUUGAAUAGAUUCAAAAAACAUAUUGGCAAGAUAUAUUAUUAUUAUUAUUACACAAACCUCAUCAAAGAAGAUUACACAUGGUGAGCUUGUCCGGGCGCGCUGAAACAAGGUCCGAAUAGCACGCUCGCUUUCUCCAACGUAUUUAUUUAAAAGUUCUGGACCCUGAAAGCCAACGAUACAACAAGGAUAGGAACCAUCAUUACUAAGGACCAUUUUUAUUAUGCAAAGAAAAAUUCAGAAAAUCUGGCAUACCUUGAUGUGUAUGAAAUUAGCUCCUGCCUCGUUUGCAACUGCCUUUGCAACCAAAGUCUUUCCACAACCCGGUGGUCCAUAGAGCAAGAAACCUGUCUCUAACGUCUUUCCAAAUUUCUAUAUAUAAAAAAAAAAGGGAAACACGUUUAGACCCUAAGGGAACAAGCAAGUAAGUCUUGACUAGUACGUAACAGUGGCAAGGGUUUUUGUUACUACCUCAUACAUGUCUGGAUAUUUGAUAGGCCUGACUAUGUAAUUGUUGAGUUCACUCCGUAGAUGGCCAAGCCCACCAACAUCAUCCCAUGAGACAUCAGGCACGGUAGAGAAACCUUCUCUAGUUAAAGAUCCCUUAACUAACUUGACUGCUUCCUCAAAAUCAGACAUUCUGACAAAGAGCUUAUCCAAAUCUUCGUCUGACCAGGGCAGCCUCAGCCAAGAUCUAUCAUCAUCAUCAUCACUGUCGCCGGAGAGUUGCAUUUUUCUUGAAUCCAUGAUCCUCUUUACGCAAAGACUGGCAGCCAUGUCAGCUAACUCUUCCAAAUCAGCUCCAACAAAACCUGGUGUUAAGCGAGCGAUUCUUUUCAUGUUAAAGGAACCUUCAAGUCUAAGUCUUUGAGCUACGAGAGAGAGAAUCUCAGCCAUGGCAUGUUCAUCAGGAGCGGUUAGAGCAAUCUCACGCCCAAAUCGCCUACCCCUUCUCAGAGCAGGAUCAAGAGCAUCAGGCGUAUUAGUAGCUCCAAUAACAACAACAUAUCCAGCCGCCGUAUCUCCCGGAGGGGGGCCAUCCAUACAAGUCAAUAGUUGUGUUACGAUCCGCUUCUCCAUCUCCCGUUGCUGGUUCUCUCUCUUAGAUCCAAUUGCAUCAGUCUCAUCGAUAAACACAAUAGAAGGCGCAGUCCUGUAUGCUUUAGAGAAGAGCUCUCUAAUAUUCUCUUCAGACUCACCUGAGAGAGAGAGAGCAUGCAUAUUGUGAUCAUCAGUAACAGAGAUACAUUAAACAAUCAAAAAUGGGGGGAAUACAAUUAUCAGACAGGUCCUGGUCAAAGCCUAAUGAAACAUUCGUUUUAGCCUUCCAAACUUUUUGAAAAAAUUUAUACUUAAAUAAAUACCCAGAUUAAAAAAAAAAAAAAAUUUAGGCCCCUAAAUAUUUUAAAUCUUUACUAAAUGGUCUAGGCUCCAAAUUCUCAGGGCCUGCCCUGACAAUUAUUUACCAGAAACACCAGAAAGAACUUGUGUGGCUGAAAUCUGAUAAAAGGGAACACCAGCUUCGUUGGCGACGGCAUUGGCCAACUGAGUCUUUCCACAGCCAGGUGGUCCAUGGAAUAGAAUCCCGCUUGGUGGCUUCGCUCCAAUCUUCCAAAACACAGGAGGAUUGAGAAGAGGGGACAGAAUAUACUGAUCCAACUGAUUCAGCACUUUUUUAAUCCCGGCAAAGUCUUUAAAAGUAGGUCCUUCUGGAGGUGGAGGAGAAGGAGAUUCCCUUUUAAGCAUUCCUUUGUUGUUGGUAACAGUCUCAGCUUCGACAUUCGUCUCCACAAGAAUUGGUUUCUUAAGCUGACAUUGAUCAAAUCAAACCUUGGACUCACCUUAGCGUCCUCAGAAGUCGAGAUAUGACCGUCACUGUCUUCCAACGAAGAAGAAGAAACUGACUUGUCUUCAAGACGUCUCUGUUUCUUCAUCUUACCACCAGUACCUUCAUCGGAAUCGUUGUUGUCAUCUUCCUCUUCGUCUUCUUUCACACGCUUCUUGUUGUUGUUUCGGGCAUUAAGGACAUUUCUGACGUUGAGGACAAGUGCUUGACGGGUCAACCUCGCAUAUUUACCGUACCUGGAACGGAGGUCGUCCACGAUUUCCUCCGCCGUAGAUAAAUCCUUCCCGCACCAAUCCAUAGCUCGACUCAAAUCUCUCUUAUUAUUUCUUCCGUCCACACCUCUCCUCCCCAUCGUGUGCUGGUGGCGUUACAGCUGUGGUAAACUUUUGGAGGAAAGCUUAUUAGCCCAGAAAGCCCUAAUUUGAUUUUUAUUACCGUGUGUGAGACGGUUCAAAAGACAAAACUAUCCUCUUUUUAAUGAAAGAGAAUAAUGAUUUUUUUUUAAAGCAUAUAUGAGAUCUCCGACGGACCGGCUCAUCUCCGCGAGGAGAUCAAAACUCUGACGCAACCAUGGUUUCUCAGCCCAACGCCAACGUAGCCUUGCACUUUCUAGAUAUGUACAAAUAGGCAGUGAACGGUCGUUUGCAGGUGUGUAAAGUACCAAAAAUUCUAAUCUUAGAGUGUUGUGAGUCUUAUACUAUGUCUUGUUUCCUUCUUGGGUUGGGCCAUUCUUUUAAAGGAACAAUCGUCUCUCUCUCGUUCAUUUGGUUUAUCGAUCAAAGUAAGCAAAAUGGUGGAGACAAAGCUGAUAUGACUGUUUAUGUUGUUUCCGCGACGGGGAUAAGAUUCAGCUUCUUAGACCAUGAUUAACUCGGGGUUCUUAAAAUGGGGUUCUUAGCGGAAUUUAAGAAAUUGUUUAUUAACUUUUAACUAAAAAAAGCUAAGAACCGGUUCUUAAAGUGCUUAUUUAAGAACCGGUUCUUAGCUUUUUUAGUUAAUGUUUCUUAACUUCCGCUAAGAACCCCAUUCUAAGAACCCCGGGUUAAUCAUGCUCUUACGGGUCUUUAGCAUAAUCGAAUGAAACAAGAAGUUGACAAACAUAGGAGUGAAAGAAGCAUUGAAAUAGGAGAUAGAUCUUUGUGAAGCUGCAACCGCCUAGGAAACAGUCUGUGGUUACUUGCAAUUCAGAGAAGAUUGCUCCAAAGUUUUACGGUCCUUAUAAAGUGUUGGAUAAGCGUGGGAAAAUAGCGUAUAAAUUCCACGAGUAUUCAAAUAUCCAUCUCAUGUUCCAUGUUUCACAGUUGAAGAAGUUGGUGGGAGAGGCAACACAGAUCCCCUCGUGAUUAGUUCAUUGAGUUUAAAGAUCUUUUCUUCAUUUUGGAUCUUUUUACAAGUGAACUAUGAUUCUGUGUGGAAAAAACAUUGAAUCGAUCAUAGAGGAGUAUUAUCCUCUCUCAAGGGCACAUCUGGCCUCUUGAUAGUUCUACUGGGCUUUUCCUCGGUUGAUAUAGCUCCGAGGGAGCAACGGCAGAAAUUUAGUUGGGAGUCACACGUGGCAACUCUCUCCCCCACUCCUUCCCUCUUCGCGCCAUACCCUCUUCUCCGUCUCCAAAUUAUGGGCCUAAUGGGCUUCACAUAAUUUCGCGGGCGUAAUUUGGCGGGAAGCAACGUGCAUCUUCUAUCUCCCUCCUUUUGAGAGCCAUAUAAUAAAACCCUUCUUCGUCAUCGUCGCGCCUACUCUCUCUCUCUCUCUCUCUCUCUCUCUCUCUGUAAUUUAACACUCAUUGACUUUGUUAGAGAAAGAUGAGCGCACCGGGCUCUUCUAGAUCCAUUCCGUUCAAAUCGAAGAAACGUCUCUUCGAUUCGCCACGCUCGAAAUCCCAAACCGGAAACCCCGAUUCACCUUCUUCUGUACCUUUCCCCACGCCGGAGAAGCCGCCGGAGAGUAUCCUCACAAGACCCAGAAACCGAUCUUAUGAUCUAUCCGAGAAAAAAGUUCCCCAGGCCGCUGGAUCUGAAGAUCCGAUUGGUAAGGUUUCAUCCGCCAGGAGUCAGCUCGUGUUCUCGUCGCCUUCCUCAUCCAAACGAGUAUCCAAUGUUAACAAGAUCGCCGAGGGUGAGAAGCUACCGGAGAAGUAAGUUUUUGAUUUCUAGGGUUCUUAGUUUUUUUUUCACGAUUCUGAUCGAGAUUUGGAUCUUCACAGGUACGAAAAUCUGGGAAAGUUCUUCGAUGCGCUAGACAGUUCGAUCGUGUUAUCGAAAUUACGAGGCUCUAAGCCGACUUUCUCCAACAUUUCCGGGAAAAUCGAGCAUUUGACGGAAAGGUAUUUUCCUGGAAAAUUGAAUCUGAUCAGAAUAAACAAUUCAAUUUGAUAUUUGCCUUUAUACUUUAUAGUUUAGAUAAGACAAACGAAUUAUCUAGAUCUUGAUUUUGAAUCUGUUUUUCUCAGGAGGUUUUGCUACAGUCACUUGGCUCAAAUCAAACAUUUAUUGCCAGAGGCAAUCGAGAUUAAGAGAGUUUUGAUACAUGAUGAAUCAACUCGCUGCAUGAAACCAGACCUUCAUGUUACACUCAACGCCUAUGCAGUUGAGGACCAUGACAAAAGCAAGAAGAUCUCACUACGCAAAGUGUUCAGGACAAGACUUGCAGACUUUUUUAAAGCUCAUCCUCAGGUAUAUGAUGAUAAAAUGCAUACUUGUAAUGAUUUUGUAAGCUACAUUCACGUACUAAUGGAGUUUUUUUUAUGUGGUUUAGGGUGAUGAAGUUCCCGAGGAAUCGCUUCCAGAGCUUUUCAGUAGAAGGAAACUAAAUGAGAACUCAAAGGAUGAGGUUAAGAGUUUUAGUUCAGUCAUGGAAGAGAUGGCUUCUAUUCCAGCAGCUAAAUUGAUCUCAGCUUUCAUGGAAGUUCCAUCAACCUCAGUCAAAGCAGCUCCAAGUCCUGCUAACAUUGCACCAACUGCAAGUCCUGCUAGACCAGCUUUGUCUAAGAUUAACUUGGCUCCAACCCCAGUGAAAGCUGUGUCAACUCCUGCUAGUGUACCUUCAACGCCUGCUAAAAUUGACCCAGCACCAGCUUUUGUCGCUUCAACCCCACCUGAGUUUGCUUCAACUCCUGCCCGUCUGUUCAGUACAUCCCUUGAAGCUCGUCUGCAGAAAAGAAGUAGCGAUGAUACAAAUCUAGAU
rnacentral:lncRNA from 1 species